AGCCUUUUAGAGUCAGGCUUCUGUGUCAUGCCUUGCAUAAAGUGACAUUUGGGCUUUUAAACUACUCUUGUGUUUGUAACACACAUAGCAGCACUGGUAUAUUUUUUUUUUUCCACAUGCAUCCUCACUUUGCAGAAUAAAAACCCCAACCCUGAACAAACUACAAACAGCCUGAUGAUGCGCGGUGUGGAGUGCCCGGUAACCUUUGUGUGCUCCAGGCAGAGCUCAGCUUUGUCGUGGUCAUUAGUGGGCCAGCACACAUUGAAAUGUGUGAUCUAUUCCUUCCUGAGCCCCAGCGAUGCCUUGCUUAGCAGAUCCUCUCGCUGGUGAGUUGCUCUUGUAAUUUCCAGUUAUGUAACUCAUCUCAUUUUGUGAAUAUGUGAAUUUAACAGCUGUCAGUGUCAGCAGCGGCUGCGAGGGGUGUGUGCCUUUUUUUUUUUUUUUUUUUUUUUUUUUUUGGCAAGCUGGCAUUACUCAUCAGUCUCAUGGUAGUUUUGUUUGAAAAAUGCUUGUGUUAGAAAAAGUGGAUUUAUCAGCUCAGCACUGUAUGGUGCUAGCAUGCAGCUCAACAAAAGACAAGUGCUCAUUUCAGUAACGCUUGCAGCAUUUCAUGGGGGCCCCAAAUAGGCUGAACAAGGCUUCUCUGGCAGCUAACCCCAAGUACAGUGGGAAACUAUUAAAGUGGCAGUGUCACUGCCUGGAAAAGGGAUUCAGUUUUGUUCCAUCAUUUAUUGCUGCCUUUUUUUUUUUUUUAAGUAAAGACUAUUAACUGCAUUAGAAAUUUCCCUGAUAUUGGAGAAAAGAAGAGACCUAACUGAAAAUAUACUGCUAGAAGUGAUUUUUUUCUCAUAGUUUCUUGGAGUGUAGACCAAACUGUCAGUCUGUCCUUCCCAAAGUGGGUCUUUUUUAUGCGGAAAAAUAAGAUGCUUGCAGCUUUUUCAAGUAAUAUUACAAAGUCAGUGGUGCUGCAGCUUUUCAAGGAGAACUCAUUCUAUCUUCAAAUCAGUUUGUUUUCAGAAUGAUUUGCUGCACUUACACUUUCUUUUGUAGCUGCUCUUCCAGAAUGCAAAUAUAACCUGGAGAGUUUUCUGUAUUUAAUUGAACGCGUGAGGUGGUUAAAAACAUGUUUUAAAAGCAGUAUUACAUACUGCAAAUGUGUCAAACCCUUUGUUCACAUUUAUUUAAAACAAAUGUAUUUUUCAGUAUUUAUUUAUUUAUUCUCUCUGUUUACAGUCCACACAGAUGGUAAAGAUAAACCAGUGAGCUUCAUUUUUUCUGAAAUAUACUCUUACAUUUUUAGGUUCUCACACACUGGCAAGAUGCUAUAAACCCCACGUGACAAAGAUCAGAGGGAAAUACUUAUCUGAAGAAAUCUUUGUCAUUAGAUGUGUUGUAAGUUUUAUAAAAGGUUCAAUUUCAUGAAAUGCAAAUUCUAGCCUAAUUGUUCCUCUGCAAGCCUUUACAGUCUCUGAGGUGCAUAGUUAAUCUGCUACCCGCCUCUACUCGGAGGGUCAGAGCCGGGUGAAACAUGUCUUCACACACCAGUUACAUCUGUGUUUAACUUUUUUUUUUUUUUUUUGCUUGUUUACCAUAACUUGCAUCCAGACAAAUGUAUUUGAACAUGCACACCUUUAAGGCUGCACAAGGGCCAAACGCAUCCCUCCUGUGGGGACAGCCACCCUCAGAUACGUUUCUGUGUGUCCACCUCCCACAUGUAGGUGUGCUCCAGAUGCUGCUGUGGCUGGAUGGGAGGAAUGGGUGGAUGCAGCUCCCAUCUCGUCCAUCUGCUGUUUCACCGUGGGGAGAGGUGGCUACAGUGAAGUGUCUGCUCUCUGAAAGGACAGAGGUUUGAAGUUAUCGGCUCCUUAGAUUUGUAGAGACUACAAACUUAAAUGCACUCUGGCAUUAUGUGGUGUCUGCACACACACUGUGCAGCCCCUGUAGCCUCCACAUCCCUGCCCCAGUGUCCUGCAGCAUCCCAUGGGCAUACACGAAGCAGCCACCUCUGGACACCAAGAGCUCACUGUGAUUAACCUGCUGGCUUUCAAGCACGUGUGAAGACAGCACUGUGGUAGCAGGUAAGAUGUUUGUAUUUCAGAUUGGUACUCAGAAAACUGGAUACUUGCUACAGUGUUUCUAUAACAUGGAAAAUUGAAGACCCUUGGUCUCUAGUCAGGCCAGGUACAGAUGACAUACCAAAAUGAUGCUUCAGGGAAGCAGGAAAGACAUUCAGUUCCUACUCCCUUGACUGGACUAAAUUUGAAAGCUAUGGAGAGGCAGCAAGAGCAAACUGGCAAUCCAGGGUUUGGGGGCAUGGAAACUCUUGAAGCCCUUCCAUCACUGGCACUCCAGUGACCUCUAUCUUGUUCCCAUCCAGGGUAAAGCUGUGCAGAGACUGCUCACUGCUCUCCUGGGGCUAUUAGUGAGUAAUAUUUCCUUCCAGACUCACUGUACCCUCACAUUUGUAGCUCAUCCUCUGGCACCCGGCAGAGCAGUCAGGGCCAGAUACAGCACAAGCCCUGGUGUGUGUAACUAAAAAAUGCAGUUGGAAAAGCCAAGAGAAGGUUAUAUCAGUGACUGUGUAAAGUCGAGGGCUGGCUGUUUUGGCGUGGAGAGCAGGUACUGAACUACCGCAGAAAAGUUGUGAUCUUUGACUUGAGUGACAGAGGAAUGGGGGACUGGGAUGUCUCAGCCCAAACUCCUUAAGACUUGGCUUGACGGGCGAGAUCUUGAACACAGCCAGAGCUUAUGACAUUAAAGGCUUUAUAAAAGCAACAGUGCCAGUUUAAAAUGAACCUCCAGCAUUACUCGCAGCCCCAGCAGGUGUAAUGUGAUCCAGGUAGCCCAAACCAGCGAGUAAACAAACUGCUGCUUUCUGAACGAGUUGCACUAGAGAAACACUUCUAACUGGGAAUUACAGUGGGUAAUUGCUAUCUGCUGCUAUUGAGAGACUGGUAAGAAUGGACAGGAUCCUAUGACUCUAAUUCUUCUUAUUCCACACAGGUUUUUCUCUCCCUACCUAAAAUGAGGUAGGGAAAAAAAUGUAGGGAAGAGUUUUCCUAGUAAGCCUGUAAAGUUUAGUAGGAUUGGGCCUGAAUUAGCUCCUUGAACUUCAGUGGGGUCUGUUGCUGGGUUUCCCUAAGCCAGAGAAAACAAUCCUACUGCUUCCAAACUGCCAAGCCAGCCAGCAGCAUUUAAUAUUGUCCCCAAAGAAGCUGCUUCACUGCUGUUCUGUUGGGUUCCUGGUCCCAUUUCCAGUGAGCAGUAUUAACUUAGGGCUUUUUACUUGGCUAUGACACUGGCCAUUUUUUAAUCCUUCAAUGCCACCUCUUAAGCCUUCCAGCUAUGGGGAAUUCAUCCUCCACAGACAGCCCUACUGUACAGACGAGCUGAACAGAGGCUGAAUGCACCAUUUUAGAUCCUCUAGGUGUAACUGCCUGGCUCCCUAUCUGGGAGAAGUGCAUAAAACUAAAAAAAGGUACACAUGUCCAAGUAGAGUCUGGACUUUGACAAGUAUUAUGGGCUUGGCAGGCUUUAAGACUCACUGCAGAGUCCUUGGAGACUGUGAGUACUCUACACCGAGGUCCCAGCAGUCCAGCUCUGCUCCAGCACUUCUGCCUCCCAGCCUGGGUCCCAUCCUUUCCCAGACAGCCUCCCCCCCUCCCCAUGCCCACACUCCAGUUAUUCGUGAGUUAUGAUAACAUAUAAGCGGCUUAGAGAAUUCUUAUCGGAAUAAGUUGAACACAAUGCAACAUUUAACUCUUAAUGACAGCCACCUCUGACUGUGAGUGACAUGUUAUAAAUUAUGUUUGAACUGGAUUUUUUUUUUCAGAGGCAGAUAUUCCCUCUGCCACCCAGUCAGCCCUGUAACGUUGCACUUGUGGCCUUAAUCCCACUUGGAUGUGUGCCCUGCUGCCUCCACUUUCCGUCACUUGGGUACUUUAGUAUUCUUGAACAAGUGAACAAUCUUUGUUUCUGUACCUUAUUAGGCCAAAGACCAUAGCAGCUAGCGAUGGCAUCAGCAGGCCCUGCAGGCAGGAUUCUCUGCAGACACAGCCAACCUCCAACAAACCCCUUUUUAUCCUCCUGUUUCUAGGAAGAAUUAUGAUGGUGGUGCCCUGCUGUUGAUCAGUCAAAUCUGUGGUAGGCCUAGAGAUAAGUCCUGUAAGUGUGGUGUACUGUAAAACAGCGGCUCCCAUUCAUUAGUAGCUUGUGUGUAAUAAACCACCCAAAGGAGGGGGGUGGGGAGGGAGAGGGACGAGCAGCUGCAGUAUGCAGGAACAAACAACACAACUCAUUCUUGGGAGCCAAAACUUUCUAAUUUGCUGCUGAGCUGCUGGGAGCACUCAAAUUCUUUCUGAUAAUACGCUCGUGCCCUCAGUGUCUCUCCUCCUGUUUCCCAAGUCCUGCUCUCCCGAGGUCCCUGAGUCUGGGAUAGUUUCACUCUGAACCCAAAACACAGAGGGUAGCUGAGCGGGGAGGAGGGGAACACAUCAGCUGCCCAGUGUUUGCAGACUCCAGCGUAAGAAAACCGUGGACUCAGAGACAAGUCAUUCUCCCGGGGAAUGGCUGUUGCACGUAUCUGCUUGUGCAGUGAGUAAACAAAGCAUCACAUGGGCUGUAGAGCAAGCAGGAGACAUGGAGCAAACCCAUGGGUAUCUGGGCAUGGAGGAGGACAGUGUCUCAGAUGUUCUUACUGAUUUAGAGCCCGUUGGAAUAUUCAGGAACCUCUAUCUCCCAAGAGGUAAAAACCCUGACUAAACUCAAAUCAGUAACAGCUGAAAAAUUAUUUGGCUUAAUCUGUACUGUUUUUUUCACAAGUUCUUGUAAAUAUUUAUAGCUUGUAGGCAUGUGAAUUUAAAUGGAGUCUGCUAAAUAUAAUGUAAGAUGUUACAUGUGUUGAGACAUCAGUAGUUCCUAAUAUUUGCAUAGCUGUGGAUUCAUCGGUGCUUUCGGAUCUCAGCCUUGGACCCUCCAACUGCCUGUUGGACAUUUCAGACCAGGAUUUGAAAAUAUUGCAUGUUGCACAACUGCUUUUAUAGACCAGGCCUUUGUGCUAAUGUUUGUAUUAUCACAGGAAAAUAAAAUUAUUUUCAGAUAGAUGCUGCUCUGGAGGACUGCUGUACCCUUGCAGGAGAUGACAGUGACUGCUUUUUCACAGUGAUGUACCAGGCUGUGACGGUGCUUGGAUGUCUCCUAACAUUUGUAUAGACAAGGGCUACUUUAAUGGCAAAUUCAGGCUUGGGCCAAACUGCAAGAACGCUUUAUGUAGACAAGGCAAAAUUGCAGAUUUGAGAGUUUCCGCCUUCCUAGAGGAGAUCCAUCUCUCUGCUCUCUGGGAGGAGCUGUGCUGUGAGUUGCCCAAGUUUUAAGCUGUGAAAUGAGAGGUGCUUCUGCCAGGCUGCUGCUUGGUAAAGUUACCCAGUGGGGUGAGAUGAAAACACCCUGAAGAGCCCUCACAUGCAUGCACAAAAUAGUGUUAACUGAGCCUGGGCACAUCUUCUGAAAGUUCAGGUGGUACCGUUGAGGUAGUUCUUAAUGUGGCAUUUUGGUAUUUUUAACAAAGUCAAAGUAAUUUGGCACUAUGAUUUUCCUUCCCCAAACUUAGGUAGGUAGGCAGGCAAGUGGAUAGCUUUAUAAUAAAAAUUGUCUGCUCAGUACCCAUUUCCAAUGUGGAUCCUAAUCUCAUUAUUCUGUUUCCUGGAUUUUCAGCUAGAAUUGCAACAAGGAACAUUUUAUAGCAAUCUCCCCAUGACUUUUCAAAGAAAAUUGCAAAGGUAACACCUCUGGUAAUUGCUGUACUGUAUAAGUAAAUGAGGGAACCCCCACCUGGAAAACUCCAGCACUGGUCAGACUGAUUUGCUCCCCUGAGAGCUGGCAGCACACAACAGGUACCCACCUACCUGUGGUCAUGUUGUCAGCAGGCUUGAAGUUAUAGAUGAGACCAGCAAAUUGAGUGAAUGUGCUGGGUCAAUAUGAAAUCAGCAGAGGGAGGUUUUUCUGAGGGUUUGAGCCCCAUCUCCAGCACAAGCAAAGCCAUGUAAUCCUUUCCUUUGCAAUUAGAGCUGAAAAAUAGCCCCGGGGCCAGAGCACUCACACAAGGAGCAAUUAGACAAGCUAGACACUGGGAAAAGCUAAAAAUAGUAAAUAAUCUGCCUCCACAAAAAUACCUUGAGUUAUUAGAAAAGGACAUUUUAUGAAUUUCCCAGGAAUCACUUACUGCUUUAAUGUGUUCACAGUGUUCUGCCCAGGAGGGCUAUAUUCCAACUGCUGUUUGACAGAGGUAAACAUGAGUAACACGACUCUCUUCUUACAUUUGAGACACUGAAAACCCUUGAGAGAUAAUUCAAGAGGAAAAAAAACCUGCAUAAAAUGAAACAGUCAGUUGUGAGCAUCUGUGUGCACACACGUGUGUGUGCUUGUACCACUGCUGGCACGCUUGUUUUCAAGUGGAGGUCGGUGAUGGAUGACUUAACAUCAACUUUCAGUGCAUGGCACUGUUUCUGUGUGGUGUCUGCUGCUUCUUUCCCGAACUGCUCUUUCCCAUCCCAAGCAAGCGUAACGUGCUGCUGAGCUGUCAGCACCCCACCAGCCUCGUGACGGGGAUGCGAUACUGGAAUUCCAGGAGCUUUUCCCCGCUGCUGACUCGGAGCAGAAGCGACUGUGGUGGUGAAGGGGCUGCAUGGGGGCCAGAUGGGUUCUUGGGGUGCUGGAUGGCAGUGGGAGACAUCGGUGGCCCUGGAGUUCCUGCAGGUGUUGGACACCCGAGGGGUCUCUGGCAAAGCCAAAUCCGUGUCUGUCAUGUGCAUCCAGGCAUGUGAGCGCAGGGGGUGUUUGCUCGUUGGGGCACGUGGUGACAGGGGCUGGGGAGGGCAGCUCUGGGGCUGCUCUGGGUGUUGGAAUGCUGAGAUCCAUCCCAUCCCUUCGGUUCUGCACAGUCCCCCGGCCUGUGAGAAACUGUGCAAAAAGUUUCUUAUCAACGUGAAUUUAAUACGCUUUCAGACUUGACAACCUCCUUUUAAAUGAAAACAUUUAUGCUGAGCAAAAGGCAUGUUUGCCUCUCCAAAUAAAUGGAAUUAUGGUUCCAAGAUCUGACUUAAUCCUGAAGUUCUUACAGUGCACAGUAAGUAGAAAAGAAAGAGGAUUGCUUGGAAGAGCAAGGGUUAGCAGGAUCAGGCUCCAUUUUACAUCUUCUUGCUCAUUUUCCUUCUGGUAUUUAAUAUACCUUUCUUAGAACUCCCACUGGCUAUUUAUAACAAAGUCAAAGUAGUUUCACUUCUAUUACCUAAUGGCAAACAAACUAAUAAUUGAAAAUAAUGAGGGAUGGUACAGAGAGUGCCCAUCCAGCUUUCUUGAUAGAAAAUUUUGAGGACUGUUAAACAAACCAAAAAUGAUGUUCUUCCAGAUAUAUUUUAUCAUAAAGUCAUGUCCUUUUAAAAUUAAUUUCAGGACAUUUCUCAAAUGCAUCAUAACAAUUUGUUCUUUUUCUACACUGUUUUUUUUUUUUUUGUGUAACUCUAUUUAAAAUCUGCAUUUAUAUUUCAAAGGAUUUAAGGGAAGAUGUUUACAAAGUAAUGAUGCCAUUUGUAUUUGUUAGACUUCUAAAAAUGGAAUUUCUAAUCAGAAAACAUUAAAAUACUUUUGUAGUA